AACGAACGCUGGCGGCAUGCCUAACACAUGCAAGUCGAACGAGACCUUCGGGUCUAGUGGCGCACGGGUGCGUAACGCGUGGGAACCUGCCCUUAGGUUCGGAAUAACUCCCCGAAAGGGGUGCUAAUACCGGAUAAUGUCUUCGGACCAAAGAUUUAUCGCCUUUGGAUGGGCCCGCGUUGGAUUAGCUAGUUGGUAGGGUAAAAGCCUACCAAGGCGACGAUCCAUAGCUGGUCUGAGAGGAUGAUCAGCCACACUGGGACUGAGACACGGCCCAGACUCCUACGGGAGGCAGCAGUGGGGAAUAUUGGACAAUGGGCGAAAGCCUGAUCCAGCAAUGCCGCGUGAGUGAUGAGGGCCUUAGGGUUGUAAAGCUCUUUUACCCGGGAUGAUAAUGACAGUACCGGGAGAAUAAGCACCGGCUAACUCCGUG
rnacentral:rRNA from 1 species